GCAGGGGGGGGUGCUUACCAUGCAGUCGACGGGAUCCAUCAGGCUUUGCUUGGUGGUGAGAGUGGCGAACGGGUGAGUAAUGCGUGACCGACCUGCCCCAUACACCGGAAUAGCUCCUGGAAACGGGUGGUAAUGCCGGAUGCUCCGACUCCUCGCAUGGGGUGUCGGGAAAGAUUUCAUCGGUAUGGGAUGGGGUCGCGUCCUAUCAGGUAGUCGGCGGGGUAACGGCCCACCGAGCCUACGACGGGUAGCCGGCCUGAGAGGGCGACCGGCCACAUUGGGACUGAGAUACGGCCCAGACUCCUACGGGAGGCAGCAGUGGGGAAUAUUGCACAAUGGGCGCAAGCCUGAUGCAGCGACGCCGCGUGCGGGAUGACGGCCUUCGGGUUGUAAACCGCUUUUGAUCGGGAGCAAGCCUUCGGGUGAGUGUACCUUUCGAAUAAGCACCGGCUAACUACGUGCCAGCAGCCGCGGUAAUACGUAGGGUGCAAGCGUUAUCCGGAAUUAUUGGGCGUAAAGGGCUCGUAGGCGGUUCGUCGCGUCCGGUGUGAAAGUCCAUCGCUUAACGGUGGAUCUGCGCCGGGUACGGGCGGGCUGGAGUGCGGUAGGGGAGACUGGAAUUCCCGGUGUAACGGUGGAAUGUGUAGAUAUCGGGAAGAACACCAAUGGCGAAGGCAGGUCUCUGGGCCGUUACUGACGCUGAGGAGCGAAAGCGUGGGGAGCGAACAGGAUUAGAUACCCUGGUAGUCCACGCCGUAAACGGUGGAUGCUGGAUGUGGGGCCCGUUCCACGGGUUCCGUGUCGGAGCUAACGCGUUAAGCAUCCCGCCUGGGGAGUACGGCCGCAAGGCUAAAACUCAAAGAAAUUGACGGGGGCCCGCACAAGCGGCGGAGCAUGCGGAUUAAUUCGAUGCAACGCGAAGAACCUUACCUGGGCUUGACAUGUUCCCGACAGCCGUAGAGAUAUGGCCUCCCUUCGGGGCGGGUUCACAGGUGGUGCAUGGUCGUCGUCAGCUCGUGUCGUGAGAUGUUGGGUUAAGUCCCGCAACGAGCGCAACCCUCGCCCUGUGUUGCCAGCACGUCAUGGUGGGAACUCACGGGGGACCGCCGGGGUCAACUCGGAGGAAGGUGGGGAUGACGUCAGAUCAUCAUGCCCCUUACGUCCAGGGCUUCACGCAUGCUACAAUGGCCGGUACAACGGGAUGCGACACGGCGACGUGGAGCGGAUCCCUGAAAACCGGUCUCAGUUCGGAUUGGAGUCUGCAACCCGACUCCAUGAAGGCGGAGUCGCUAGUAAUCGCGGAUCAGCAACGCCGCGGUGAAUGCGUUCCCGGGCCUUGUACACACCGCCCGUCAAGUCAUGAAAGUGGGUAGCACCCGAAGCCGGUGGCCUAACCCUUUUGUGGUAUUGGA
rnacentral:rRNA from 1 species